rnacentral:rRNA from 1 species
UACGUAGGGGGCAAGCGUUGUCCGGAAUCAUUGGGCGUAAAGCGCGUGUAGGCGGCCCGAUAAGUCCGCUGUGAAAGUCCAGGGCUCAACCCUGGGAUGCCGGUGGAUACUGUCGGGCUCGAGUCCGGAAGAGGAGUGUGGAAUUCCUGGCGUAGCGGUGAAAUGCGCAGAUAUCAGGAGGAACACCAAUGGCGAAGGCAGCACUCUGGGACGUGACUGACGCUGAGACGCGAAAGCGUGGGGAGCAAACAGG